UCCGGUUCUUCACCAGCAGUCUCCUUAGAGUCCCCGACUUUACUCGAUGGUAACUAAGGACAAGGGUUGCGCUCGUUACGGGACUUAACCCAACAUCUCACAACACGAGCUGACGACAGCCAUGCAGCACCUGUCUCUCCGCUCCUUUCGGCACUCCAGUCUCUCAACUAGAUUCAGAGGAUGUCAAAAGUAGGUAAGGUUCUUCGCGUUGCAUCGAAUUAAACCACAUGCUCCACCGCUUGUGCGGGCCCCCGUCAAUUCCUUUGAGUUUCAACCUUGCGGCCGUACUCCCCAGGCGGAAUACUUAUCGCGUUUGCUUCGAUACUGAUAGGUCGCCCUACCAACAUCUAGUAUUCAUCGUUUACAGCGUGGACUAC
rnacentral:misc_RNA from 1 species